GCUGGGCAUGGUAGUGCACGCUUGUAAUCCCAGCGACCUGGGAGGCUGAGGCAGGAGGAUCGCAAGUUCAAGGUCAGUCUUAGCAACUUAGGGAGGCCCUCAGCGAUUUAUUGAGACCCUGUCUUAA
rnacentral:sRNA from 1 species